AUGUCGGCCGCCGCCGGCAAGCCGUCCCGGUCUGCCUCCACCAUCAUUGCCUCCACAGCGAGCGGGUACUACCUCCUCAAGAUCGAUGGCUACUCCCGCACCAAGGGCGUCCCCAAUGGAGAUAAGAUAAAGUCCCGCCCUUUCACCCUUGGGGGACAUCGAUGGCACAUCGAUUACCAUCCCAACGGCUUCAAUUCAGAGAACACAGAUUACAUAUCCCUGUUUCUUGUUCUUGAUGACACUGCCACCAUGGCGGUGAAGGAGCAGCACAAAUUCAGUUUUGUGGACGAGGUGAUGGACCAAGCCCCUUCAUUGGCAUUAGAAACAGUACACAACCACAAUAGUCAGCAGGGCAGACUUGGAGAAGUCAGAGCAUCUCAAGAAAGAUUCUUUCACCAUUAG
rnacentral:rRNA from 1 species